rnacentral:rRNA from 1 species
AUGGUCGAACAGACCAAGAAAAUGAAAUUUNGNACCCAUCUCUUAUCUUAAUUCAACAUCGAGGUCGCAAACUUAUUUAUCGAUAAGAACUCUCCAAAUAAAUUACGCUGUUAUCCCUAAGGUAAGUUAAUCUUAUAAUCAAAAAUUGGGGGAUCAAAAAAACAUAAAUUAAUGAAAAAAAUAAUUAAAAGUUAAUUUAAUUUUAAUAUCACCCCAAUAAAACUCAUUCUUUUAAAAAAAUAAUUCAAAAUCAAAAUAUAUAAUUUUAUAAAAUUAGUAAACUUCUAUAGGGUCUUCUCGUCCUAUAAAAAUAUUUUAGCUUUUUAACUAAAAAAUUAAAUUCAAAAAAAUAAUUAAAAGAAAGUUUAUAUUUCAUCAAACCAUUCAUACUAGCCUCCAAUUAAAAGACAAAUGAUUAUGCUACCUUCGUACAGUUNAAAUACCGCAGCCUUUUAAUAUUAUUAAUCAAUGGGCAGGUAC